rnacentral:rRNA from 1 species
AUGACGUUUUCGACCAUCACCGGUCACCUCCCUGUUGUAAUUGUGACGACGGGGUUGCAAGGGGCGACGGCGAAUGGCGGGGCGUUUCUGCAACAUCAUCUCCAUUGCAAAAAAAUUGGCAAGAUUAUUUGUGUUGCAAAAUUUUCUUCCGCGAGAACACCUACGUUACAAAAAUGUGAAGCCGGAAAAAAAAAUCUGCAAUAUCACCUAUAUUGCAAAUGGUUUCUGCAACAUGAGCUCUAUUGCGAAGAGCUCUGCAAUACUACAUUUGUUACAAUGCUGAAGACGAUGAUGGCGUCAGAUCUAAUGGUCGUCGAGGCGGCAGAAUUUUUGAAAAGAUCUGUCGGCUGA